CCUACGGGAGGCAGCAGUGAGGAAUAUUGGUCAAUGGACGAGAGCCUGAACCAGCAAAGUAGCGUGAAGGAUGACUGCCCUAUGGGUUGUAAACUUCUUUUAUAUGGGAGUAAAAUGUUCCACGUGUGGGAUUUUGUAUGUACCAUAUGAAUAAGGAUCGGCUAACUCCGUGCCAGCAGCCGCGGUAAUACGGAGGAUCCGAGCGUUACCCGGAUUUAUUGGGUGUAAAGGGAGCGUAGGUGGAUUGUUAAGUCAGAUGUUAAAGUUUGCGGCUCAAACGUAGAACUGCAGUUGAAACUGGCAGUCUUGAGUACAGUAGAGGUAGGCGGAAUGCGUGGUGUAGCGGUGAAAUGCUUAGAUAUCACGAAGAACUCCGAUUGCGAAGGCAGCUCACUGGACUGCAACUGACGCUGAGGCACGAAAGUGUGGGUAUCAAACAGGAUUAGAUACCCCAGUAGUC
rnacentral:rRNA from 1 species